GCCUGUAGAACAAACUUCAACGGGUGAUUACUUAUUCUUAUUCAACUUUCAAUUUAGAAGAAUUCGAUGUCGGAUUGUGAUACCUUGCUGCCAUAGCUUUGCAUUUCACAAUGCACUUGAUUUGCUCCUGAUUCCUGGAAAUCGACGCACAAAAAACCAAGUUCACAUAUCUCUGCUUUAAAGCUGAUUUUCUUUCUCUUUGCAAGUUAAAGAUUAUAUUGGUGUUUUAUCAUGUCUGUGGUUCUGGUUGCUACGUACUGAUUUAAGCUGGAUCUUGGCAACACUUCCAAAAUUGAUCUUGGCAACACUUCCAAAAUUGUGUUUUCUCUAUAAGCAGUUAGCUCCUUUAUUUUAUAAUUUUAAAUAGGAUAUAAUGUCUUUUAUUUUUUGUAUGAUAUUUCGUUACAUAAGUAGUAGGUGCUCAUUACACUGAGUGGGCAUUGGCGCAAAAAAAGUCGUCUGCUGCUGAAGCGUUGUGUAUCUCAAGUAAAUCCAAAAACCUGCUUUGUAAUAACAACCCAGCUGAAUUCUUAUCCAAGAAGUUCCUCUUUUAAUCUAAUUUUUGCAUUUCACUACAUGAUUUGCUCCUGAUUCCAGCCAUCCAACGAAGCUGUUUGCGGUGUUUCCGUGAGUGCUGUCUGCUGUAUCAAAUUCCGAAGAAAAUACAUAUGUGAUAAACUCUCAUCUGAUGAAAACUGCAACGAGUUCCAUUCCAAGGACUGCACAGAUUAGGUUUUGUAACAGCCAACAUUCCAUUUGCGAUUCAAUUUAUGUCUUUUUCUUCUAGGUAUUUUCAUCACAUUUCGGAGUCGACUACAUGACGCCAGUGAAAUCUUAUCCUCUGUCCUUGUGUACAUUCAUGUGAUGAUGAAUGUAUUCACGAGGACUUGCUUUCCUUCUGCUCUUCCUACCUUAAAUUGCGAGUUCUCUAGUUAGGCAUUGUCUUCCUCGUUCUUUCAAGGGACUGUGAAUCCUCCUCUAAAGUUUCCAUAAACUUAGGGGAACGAAACAAUUAAAUGGGUUCAUUAACGACGG
rnacentral:lncRNA from 1 species